rnacentral:rRNA from 1 species
AUGCUGGACCUGUCAAGUGACAAUUUUUCAGGACCAAUCCCUCCUGACAUCUCAUGGCGGCUGUCAUAUCUGUCAUCUCUGGAUCUUUCCUUCAAUGAAUUUUCAGGUGAAAUCCCAGAUAGUAUCGCAAAUCUGACGAAUCUGAAUGCCCUCAACCUUCAGCACAACCAACUAAGUGGUCAAAUUCCUGCAUCGCUAUGGAAGUGGUCAAAUUCCUGCAUCGCUAUGACCCGAUUGUUCUGGAACUUUGUUUGUCAUCCGGAUGCCAAACGGGCACUUCCAACAGCAACUUCAGUUCCCUCCCCUGCAGUAAGAGUUCACCAACAUGUAUACCUGGUACCCUAG